GUCGUGAGUAGUCUUGGGUUAAGUCCCGCAACGAGCGCAACCCUUAUCAUUAGUUGCUACGCAAGGGCACUCGUAAUGAGACUGCCGGUGACAAACCGGAGGAAGGUGGGGAUGACGUCAAGUCCUCAUGGCCCUUAUGGGUAGGGCUUCACACGUCAUACAAUGGUCGGUACAGAGGGUUGCCAAGCCGCGAGGCGGAGCCAAUCCCACAAAGCCGAUCGUAGUCCGGAUUGUUCUCUGCAACUCGAGAGCAUGAAGUCGGAAUCGCUAGUAAUCGCAGGUCAGCAUACUGCGGUGAAUACGUUCCCGGGUCUU
rnacentral:rRNA from 1 species